rnacentral:rRNA from 1 species
GACGAACGCUGGCGGCGUGCCUAAUACAUGCAAGUCGAACGCUUCUUUUUCCACCGGAGCUUGCUCCACCGGAAAAAGAGGAGUGGCGAACGGGUGAGUAACACGUGGGUAACCUGCCCAUCAGAAGGGGAUAACACUUGGAAACAGGUGCUAAUACCGUAUAACAAUCAAAACCGCAUGGUUUUGAUUUGAAAGGCGCUUUCGGGUGUCGCUGAUGAUGGACCCGCGGUGCAUUAGCUAGUUGGUGAGGUAACGGCUCACCAAGGCCACGAUGCAUAGCCGACCUGAGAGGGUGAUCGGCCACAUUGGGACUGAGACACGGCCCAAACUCCUACGGGAGGCAGCAGUAGGGAAUCUUCGGCAAUGGACGAAAGUCUGACCGAGCAACGCCGCGUGAGUGAAGAAGGUUUUCGGAUCGUAAAACUCUGUUGUUAGAGAAGAACAAGGAUGAGAGUAACUGUUCAUCCCUUGACGGUAUCUAACCAGAAAGCCACGGCUAACUACGUGCCAGCAGCCGCCGUAA